rfam:Otolemur garnettii contig169381, whole genome shotgun sequence.
CUGUCUCAAAAAACAGAACAGUGCUCGUUUCAGCAGCACAGUACAGAGAAGAUUAGCAUGGCCCCUGCACAAGGAUGACACGUGAAUUGGUAAAGCAUUCCAUAUUUUA